rnacentral:rRNA from 1 species
AGAGUUUGAUCCUGGCUCAGGAUGAACGCUAGCGAUAGGCCUUACACAUGCAAGUCGAGGGGCAGCGCGGGAAGGUAGCAAUACCUUCUUGGCGGCGAC